rnacentral:lncRNA from 1 species
AUGUAUACAGAAUGAAUUAGAAGAAAUAAUACUGGCUCAAAUGCUCUGCCGUGAGUUAGGCUUGAGCUACAUGGGUCUGGGCAAGGAUGUUGGCAGUUGGAAUUAGGAGAUGGAACAAAUUUAAGAGUUGCCUCAGAGGACCAAUCAUGAAGCUUGAUGAUAGACUGGCUACGGAGGCGCAAGGAAGGAAGUAAUCAAGGAUAAAUGACGUGUGUCUCAAGAGUUGCUACCUUUGUGUCUGGGAUAAUACAUGGCUGUCAGUGGGAAUGGGAAUGCUGGGCUAGAGAUUCUGGAGAGAAGGGAGAAUGUGUAGUUUGGUUUCGAAUGUGUGGAGAGUUGACAAGAGAUUAUCCAAAUAUCAAUCAUAGGCAGCGAUGCAGGAGAACAGUUAGCAUUGGAGGAGGGAUUCUCCAGUCCCGAUGGAGCCAACCAAGUGCUUUUCUCCUAUAGCACCUGACAAAGAAAACAGAUAGCGAGAAAGCCUGCAGUCAACUCUGGGAAUGGGGAUGGAGGCCCCGACCCCAGCCUUCCCUGCUUAGAGGAAACAGGAAACUCUGUACCAGCUGGG